CAAUAGCGUAUAUUUAAGUUGUUGCAGUUAAAAAGCUCGUAGUUGGAUUUCGGAUGGGACUUGCCGGUCCGUCGUUUCGAUGUGCACUGGCCAGUCCUAUCUUGUUGUCGGGGACUAGCUCCUGGGCUUCACUGUCCGGGACUAGGAGCUGACGAGGUUACUUUGAGUAAAUUAGAGUGUUCAAAGCAAGCCUACGCUCUGAAUACAUUAGCAUGGAAUAACACGAUAGGACUCUGGCCUAUCGUGUUGGUCUAUAGGACCAGAGUAAUGAUUAAGAGGGACAGUCGGGGGCAUUCGUAUUCCGUUGUCAGAGGUGAAAUUCUUGGAUUUACGGAAGACGAACAUCUGCGAAAGCAUUUGCCAAGGAUGUUUUCAUUGA
rnacentral:rRNA from 1 species